ACCUGGUUGAUCCUGCCAGUAGUCAUAUGCUUGUCUCAAAGAUUAAGCCAUGCAAGUGUAAGUUCACGUCACGAUUAAGAACGGGCGAAACCGCGAAUGGCUCAGGAACCGGACCUAAUCCUCGGGACCGUAUUCCUCCACGGAGGGAAGUGGAUAACUGUGGUAAUUCUAGAGCUAAUACAUGCAACUAAAGUCUCGAUCUUCGUUCGGUUAGGUUUAGUUGAGAAAUGUGUCGAUUGUGAUUCGCUUCGUCUGCACGUACGCACGUACAACUAACUACACACACACACACACACGCGCGCGCACUUCUUUCGUUACGAAAAUGUAUGAUGUCGAGCAUUCGUCUCUGUCAUUGUACCGCCUUUUGUUCGUUGUCGUCGUCGUUGUUGUUGUUGUUGUUGUUGUUGUUGUUGUUUGUUGUCGUCGUCGUCUCGUUUGUGUUAUUAUUAUCGCCCUCUUAACUUUCCUCCGUACGACGCCUUUGAUCGCGGCGCAACAUAUUAGACUGAGACCGAUGCGUUUUGUUGGUCGUCGAAGUGACGCGAGUACGCACAGGCACGCACACGACGUCACACGCACGCCGCCGUCGUCACACGUCGGCACACACAUACAUUUUUGUUUUGUUGUAGUUGCUGGUGGUGGUGGUGGUGGUGUUGUCGUUGCUUGGUCGACGUGUUGCGUCUUUAAGGUUCGCGUGCGCGCGUUCUCUUUUCGUCGCAUCCGACGCGCCCGCUUUUGGUGACUCUGGAUAACACAAUUGUCGAUCGCUAUGGGUCUUUUGUACCUGGCGACGGGUCCCCCGAGGGUCCGCCCUAUCAACUGUCGACGGUCGGAUAAUUGCCUACCGUGGUUACAACGGGUAACGGGGAAUCGGGGUUCGAUUCCGGAGAGGGAGCAUGCGAAACGGCUACCACAUCCAAGGAAGGCAGCAGGCGCGCAAAUUACCCACUCCCGGCACGGGGAGGUAGUGACGAAAAAUAACGACGCGGGACUCUGUCGAGGCCCCGCGAUCGGAAUGGGUACACUUCAAAUCGGUUAACGAGUAUCAACCGGAGGGCAAGUCUGGUGCCAGCAGCCGCGGUAAUUCCAGCUCCGGUAGCGUAUAUUAAACUUGUUGCGGUUAAAAAGCUCGUAGUCGGAACUCGGGUCUAAAAAAAAACGUAGUAAAAUACGUUCGGGGCGUCGGCACCGUCGUUCGAGUCCGAACUUCGGUUGGUUUUUUAUCCGUACGCACACCCGGCCCUAUCCGCCGGUACGGACGAAGGAAGGCCAUUCGCGGAAAGAAAUGUGUUUCGGUCUUAGAUUUUCUUUUUCUUGUCGUUUAUUUUUUUUGUUUUUUAUUUUUUUUCCGUUUUAAUUUUGUUGUUGAAUUUCAAUGUUCGAAAUAAUAAUAAUAUAUAUAUUUUUUUUUGUUUUCUUUUGUGUAGCUUUUUAAUACGACCAUCGCGCAAUUAGAAAAAGAAAGAAGGAACGAACGAACGAAUGAAUUAACAAAUUAAACUAAACUAAACUCAACAAAUUAACGCGCGAACGAUUGAAUUACGAACGAUCGAACUGAAAUGAAGGAGAGAGAUUAAUUUUUUUGGGAAAAAAAAAAUUAUAAACGAUGAUUUCUAAAUUAAACGAUAAUAACGAAUUAUAUUAUUAUUAUAGGCAGAGGAGUGUUUUUGGAGAGAGAGAUAUAUAUAUAAAUUACAAAAUUAAAGCGUGCGCGAGUGUACGCGUCUGCGUGUAUCUAAUUCGGUAAUUUUUGUUUGUUGUUGUUGUUGUUGUUGUUGUUGGUGGUAAUUUCGUAGUUUUGGUUUUAUUUUUGUUGUUGUUGUUGUUGGUUUUUGGGUUUGUGUUGUUUUUUUUGUCUUUUGUUUUGCUUUGCGUUGGUGUGUGUGCGUGCGUUGGUGUUUCGAUUGCAUUGAAGAAUAGAGGAGAAGAAGGAGAAGGACGAGGAUGAUGUAGGAAUCUUUCUUACAUUCUUUUCCCUCGUCUCAAUGUCUCUUUUUUUUUUUUUUUUUCUUUCCUUUUGCAUUCUUACGUUAACGCAAUUUUUCAUCGCCAGCCUAAACUUUUUUUCAAAAAAACAACUACCAUUACACCACUUCUACUACUAUUAUUAUUACUACUAUUUACUACUUACUACUAAUACUACUACUUAUUACUACUACUUACUACUACUUAUUACCGUCGCUUGGUCACGUAGUGCGUCCCCCCGUUUUUGUUUUUUUUUUUGUUCUUUUUCUUCUUUCUCUCUUUCUUCUUUUCCGUUUUAAUUAUUAUUUUUCGUUUCGUUUCUUUUUUUUUUUAUUCGUUUUUUUCUUCCCUUAUUUUUUUUUUUUUCUUUUUCUUCGGCCGCCGUAUUCGUCGUUUUGUUGUUGUUGUUGUUGUUGUUCUUGUUGUUGUUCUUGUUGUUGUUCUUCUUCAAUUAACUUCUAUUAUUUUUUUUUUAUUUUUCGUAAUGGAAAUUAUCGUGUUGAAAACAAUAAUACUAGAGAGAAAAAAUUUCAAAAAAAAAAAAAAAAUUUUGUUUAAAAAACGAAUAAAGAAUGACGAUAAUAAAGUAAAUAUAGAAUUGGAAAAAAACAAAUAUAUAUAACAAAGAAAGAAACGAUCAAAACAAGAAAAAACAAAAAAAAAUCUGAUAUAGUCGAAACGAACGCGUUUUGGUAAAACGGAAUUCAAAACUUCGUGCCCUUCGUUCGAUUCCUCCGAGGGUGCUCUUUACCGAGUGUCCGAGGCGGCCGGUACGUUCACUUUGAAAAAAUUAGAGUGCUCAGAGCGAGCUUUGUUCGGCUUGCAUACGAUAAGCAUGGAAUGAUAGAAAAGGGCCUCGUCCACGUCUAUCGGUCUCCGUUUACGACGAGGCAAUGAUCGAAGGGAGCGGUCGGGGCCACUCGUAUUGCGACGUUAGAGGUGAAAUUCUUGGAUCGUCGCAAGACGCACUGCAGCGAUGGCGUGUGGCAAGCACGUUUUCCUCGAUCAAGAGCGAAAGUCGGAGGUUCGAAGACGAUCAGAUACCGUCGUAGUUCCGACCGUAAACGAUGCCGACUGGCGAUCCGCCGGCGUUCGCUUCGAUGACCCGGCGGGUAGCCUGCGGGAAACCAGAGUUGGUUCCGGGGGGAGUAUGGUUGCAAAAUCGAAACUUAAAGGAAUUGACGGAAGGGCACCACCAGGAGUGGAGCCUGCGGCUUAAUUUGACUCAACACGGGAAAACUCACCCGGUCCGGACACCGGUAGGAUUGACAGAUCGAUAGCUCUUUCUCGAUUCGGUGGGUGGUGGUGCAUGGCCGUUCUUAGUUGGUGGAGCGAUCCGUCUGGUUGAUUCCGAUAACGAACGAGACUCCGGCCUGCUAACUAGCGCGCCGAUUAGUGCUAGAUAUAUACAAUAUUACACCAGCAGCAUCAGCGUUUGUUCGCUUGGGCGUCGCCUGUGUUCGCGAUUGUUUGUGGUCUUUAUAUAAUGCGAUUGCUUACGUCGUCGUUUUCGUUGCUGCUUUGUGUUUUGUGCUUGUUUUAUUUCAUUUUGUGUUGUCGAAAUUUUAUUAUUUCUCCUCUCCUCUCGACAGCAGCGUCGUAUAUAUAUAUAUAUAUAUAUCUAUUUCACGCGACUCACACACACUCACACGUUUACGACAUAUCAUUUGUUUGUGAGCGAGCGCGUCGUGUUCGUGUUUUUUUUGUUAUUAUUAUUAUUAUUAUUUAUACGUGUCUAUGUUGUUGUUGUGUUGGUUGGUGUGAUAUUUUUUUUUUUCUUCGCUCUCUUUGUUCCUUUUACUGGUACCUUUCACUUUGUUGGCACGCAACGCGCGUUGUUGUCGUAUAUUUUUUGUACCACCUACAACUACGUGUGCGCGUCGGCGUGCGUUCCGGUGUCGAGCGUGGUUGUGUUUGUGGUUGUGUAAAGGCGUAUAUACGCGGCCAGUCGGUUGCUUCCUGCGCUUCUUAGAGGGACGGGUGGCAGAAAGCCACACGAGGCGGAGCGAUAACAGGUCUGUGAUGCCCUUAGAUGUCCGGGGCUGCACGCGCGCUACACUGGAGAUAUCAGCGGGGACUACCACCCGGCCCGAAAGGGUUGGGAAACCUCUCAACCAUCUCCCGUGAUAGGGAUCGGGGCUUGUAAUUAACCCCGUGAACGAGGAAUUCCCGGUAGGCGCGGGUCAACAACCCGCGUCGAUCACGUCCCUGCCCUUUGUACACACCGCCCGUCGCUACUACCGAUCGAACGGUCCGGUGAGGUCCUCGGAUCUGGCCGACGACGCCGACACUGUCUUCUAUUACGUUCGUUGGCUAUAUUUUUUUUUUGGUUUCAUAAUUUGCUGCAUACAAUGCAAUCUCCAAUUUCAUUAGCAAGCAUCAUCAUCAUCAUUAUCAUCAUCAUCGUCCUCCUCCCACACAUUCCGUCGUCGUCGUCGUCUUCUUCUUCUAACUUGUCAUCAACUAACUAUCAUCGUCAUUAGCAGCAGCAGCAACGCUAUCGCAACAUCGCUUACGCUCGUCUUUUAUAUUAUAUCUUUUUUGUGUCACGGCUACUGUUAACUACUGCUAAACGACUUCUGUGUUAAAACGACCAUUGCUACUAGGAUUACGAUGACGACUUCUCCGUCGCCGACGCUACCGCCGCCGCCGCCGCGUUGCUUUCAUACGUCUCUCAACUCUUGCAAUUUUUUUUUGUUUUUUGUUGUUGACGUUGUGGUUGUGUUGUUGUUGUUGUGUCGUUGUGUCGUUGAGGUUGUUUGUCGUUGUCGUUGUCUUUGUCGCUGCUGUUGUUGUUUUUUUCUCGUUGUCCUUGUCGUUUUGUAGUCUUCAUUGGGGUUGUUUUAUUUUUUUCGUCCUGUUCUUGUUGUUGUUGUUGUUGUUGUUGUUUUUGGUUGUUUAUGUUGUUGUUGUUGGUGGUGGUUGGGUUGUUGUUGUUGGUGAUGAUUGGUUUUUUGGUUGGUGGUCGUCGUUUGUGUUGGUAGUGGUAGUGGUGUUUUGUUGGUGUUUUUGGUUUGUUUUCGUUUGUCGGUGUCGUUGUGUAGUCUUUUGUAAUUUGCCUUCCGUAUAAAGACGUCGUCGUCUGAUGGCCCGGAGAAGACGACCGAACCCGAUCGUUUAGAGGAAGUAAAAGUCGUAACAAGGUUUCCGUAGGUGAACCUGCGGAAGGAUCAUUA
rnacentral:rRNA from 1 species